AACCGUGGUAAUUCUAGAGCUAAUACAUGCCAAAAACCCCGACUUCGGAAGGGGUGUAUUUAUUAGAUAAAAAGCCAAUGCCCUCCGGGGCGUCCUGGUGAUUCAUGAUAACUCAACGAAUCGCAUGGCCUUGCGCCGGCGAUGGUUCAUUCAAAUUUCUGCCCUAUCAACUUUCGAUGGUAGGAUCUUUGCCUACCAUGGUCUCAACGGGUAACGGGGAAUUAGGGUUCUAUUCCGGAGAGGGAGCCUGAGAAACGGCUACCACAUCCAAGGAAGGCAGCAGGCGCGCAAAUUACCCAAUCCCAAAUCGGGGAGGUAGUGACAAUACAUACUGAUACAGGGCUCUUUCGGGUCUUGUAAUUGGAAUGAGUACAAUCUAAAUCCCUUAACGAGGAACAAUUGGAGGGCAAGUCUGGUGCCAGCAGCCGCGGUAAUUCCAGCUCCAAUAGCGUAUAUUAAAGUUGUUGCAGUUAAAAAGCUCGUAGUUGAACCUUGGGUCUGGCUGAUCUGUCUUCCUAACCGUUGCACGGAUUCGGUCGGACCUUUCUUUCUGGGGAAUCCUAUGCCCUUCACUGGGCGUAGUGGGAAACCAGGACUUUUACCUUGAAAAAAUUAGAGUGUUCAAAGCAGGCCUUUGCUCGGAUACAUUAGCAGGAAUAAUAGAAUAGGACAGCA
rnacentral:rRNA from 1 species